rnacentral:tRNA from 1 species
GGGUCAUUGGUGUAAUGGCAACAUACCGGAUUCCAAAUCCGGCUGAUCGUGGUUCGAGUCCACGGUGACCCGCCA